rnacentral:rRNA from 1 species
CCCUUAGAUGUUCUGGGCCGCACGCGCGCUACACUGACGAUGGCAACGAGUUUUUCCUUCGCCGAAAGGUGUGGGUAAUCUUUUGAAACAUCGUCGUGCUGGGGAUAGUUCAUUGCAAUUUUUGAUCUUGAACGAGGAAUUCCUAGUAAGCGCGAGUCAUCAGCUCGCGUUGAUUACGUCCCUGCCCUUUGUACACACCGCCCGUCGCUACUACCGAUUGAAUGGUUUAGUGAGGACUCCUGAUUGGCGCCGCCGCCCCGGCAACGGAGCAGCGGACUGCCGAAAAGUUGUUCAAACUUGAUCAUUUAGAGGAAGUAAAAGUCGUAACA